AACGGGUGAGUAAUAUAUCGGAACGUGCCCAGUAGUGGGGGAUAGCCCGGCGAAAGCCGGAUUAAUACCGCAUGAGACCUGAGGGUGAAAGCGGGGGACUCGCAAGGGCCUCGCGCUACUGUAGCGGCCGAUAUCAGAUUAGCUAGUUGGUGGGGUAAAGGCCUACCAAGGCAACGAUCUGUAGUUGGUCUGAGAGGACGACCAGCCACACUGGGACUGAGACACGGCCCAGACUCC
rnacentral:rRNA from 1 species